rnacentral:lncRNA from 1 species
AUAUACGACUGUUAGAGGGAUUGGAGACUGGUCACGUGAGCGCAUUACUACUACACUCACCAUCCGCGUUUGUGUUAAGUAUAUUCAUAGUCACGCCUUUUCUUUGACCUUGUGCUAUUUCAAUGGAGGAAGAGCAGAACCAACAGUACAUUUUUGUGGGACUAUUGUAUUAGUUUGGAAGCUUAAUACAGACAGGUCUGCAAAUGGAAGGAUAAAACUGAGGUUUUUGUUUAAAAGAAUCAUGAAUAUAGGAGAUAUGAUGCUUCAAAGGCACUUAUAGAACACAAAUUUUAAUUAUCUGUCAAUAUCAUUAUCUAUUGUAGUAUUCAAUGCUUAUUUGUAGACCUUAUAGCA